rnacentral:rRNA from 1 species
GUGUCAGCCGCCGCGGUAAUACGUAGGUGGCAAGCGUUGUCCGGAUUUACUGGGCGUAAAGAGCGCGCAGGCGGCCGAGUAAGUCGAAUGUGAAAGCCCCCGGCUCAACUGGGGAAGGUCAUUCGAUACUGUUCGGCUCGAAGAUAGGAGAGGGAAGCGGAAUUUCAGGUGUAGUGGUGAAAUGCGUAGAUAUCUGAAGGAACACCAGUGGCGAAGGCGGCUUUCUGGCCUAUUCUUGACGCUGAGGCGCGAAAGCUAGGGGAGCGAACGGGAUUAGAAACCCCUGUAGUCC